rnacentral:tRNA from 1 species
GUCAGGGUGGCCCAGCCUGGUACGGCGCCGGCCUGCUAAGCCGGUUCUCGCAAGAGAUCCGGGGUUCAAAUCCCCGCCCUGACGCCA